rnacentral:rRNA from 1 species
GACGAACCGUCCAAACGUUAUUCGGAAUUACUGGGCUUAAAGGGUGCGUAGGCGGCGCGGCAAGUUGGGUGUGAAAUCCCUCGGCUCAACCGAGGAACUGCGCCCAAUACUACCGUGCUCGAGGGAGAUAGAGGUGAGCGGAACUUAGGGUGGAGCGGUGAAAUGCGUUGAUAUCCUAAGGAACACCGGUGGCGAAAGCGGCUCACUGGAUCUCUUCUGACGCUGAGGCACGAAAGCUAGGGUAGCGAACGGG